rnacentral:tRNA from 1 species
GCGGUCGUGGCGGAAUGGUAGACGCGCUAGCUUGAGGUGCUAGUGGGGGAAACCCCGUGGAAGUUCGAGUCUUCUCGUCCGCA